GACAGGCUUGAGUUCAGAUUCCUUCUUCUGACACUUUGUAGCAAAUAGUUGCAGCCUCUGGAAGCCUCCAGAGAUGCGAGCAGCUUCUUCCCCUCCGCAGCAGGCUGGGGCACCUUUCGGCCGCCGUUAAGCCCCCUGCGCUCCCCCUCCCCCCGCCACCGGCCGGGGCUCCUCGCGGUUAUUGGGAGUCAUUUUCGCCAUUAAUUGUCAUUCUAAUUUGAUUUGGGGGCGAGCGGGCUUGACUCGGGGCCAAGCUCCUCCUUUUCCCGAGGGAGAAGCCGCCGGGCAGAGGAGGGUGACUGCUCGGGCAGGGCCAGCCAGUUAGGAGCAGCGCCCUGCGCCUCCAUCAGCCCCUUGGGGCGCUUUUCGGAUGGCCCCGCGGCGGCCGAAAGAAGGGCUUUUCCCUGUUGUCAGGGGAGACCUGAGCCGAGGAGGAGGCGGCGAUCGGGAGUGACCUGAGCAGCUGCCUAGGCCAGCCCCUCUCCUUCACCUGGGGGAAGCGGGAGCGGCGCCCGCCGGGGCCAAGUUUCCGAGAGGGGCGCCGGCGUCAGCCGGAGGGAGAAGAAGUUUCUAGCUGUCACCGCUGCCCAGCCGGGAGCAGCGGCGGACCGCUCGCUCCCGCCUCCCUUCGCACGCACGCUGAGCCUCGGAGGAGACCACGUUCAGUCUGGCUCUCUGGUGGCCCACCAGAUGUCAACAGAACUGCUAGGCUACAAGGCCUCAGUCAAACAGGUAAGUCAAGGCCUCUCCCCCACCCCUUUAAUAGGAGGGGGCCACCCUAGACGGCUGUGGCCAAUGGCCCCAGUACUUACUGGCAGCUUCUAGACAGUGUUAAGAAGCUGAUGCCAGUGGGAGGCCCUGGGCCUCUGUUGAGGACAGAUAGCUCUAGGGGUCUCCUCCUUGGGCAACAGUGACUCUUUGUUUAGACCCUGCCCACUCCUAACGUAGCCCAAGUUGCAUUAGUUUUCUCCUCGGAAAAAGCCCCACAUGGGACCUUGGCAUAGAGAAGAGCCCAGAACCAGUGCCCACAGCUCCCCCCCUCCCCAGGCCCCUGUCCCAAUCUGAUAGGAUUUUGCUGGAAGAAGCCCAGAGUGGCCCGAAAGUGUUGUCUGAUUAUUCCUCUGUCUUC
rnacentral:lncRNA from 1 species